AACGAACGCUGGCGGCAGGCUUAACACAUGCAAGUCGAACGCCCCGCAAGGGGAGUGGCAGACGGGUGAGUAACGCGUGGGAACGUGCCCUUCGCUUCGGAAUAGCCCCGGGAAACUGGAGUAAUACCGAAUACGCCGUAUUGGGAAAGAUUUAUCGGCGAAGGAUCGGCCCGCGUUAGAUUAGCUAGUUGGCGGUGUAAUGGACCACCAAGGCUACGAUCUAUAGCUGGUCUGAGAGGAUGAUCAGCCACACUGGGACUGAGACACGGCCCAGACUCCUACGGGAGGCAGCAGUGGGGAAUCUUGGACAAUGGGCGCAAGCCUGAUCCAGCCAUGCCGCGUGAGUGAAGAAGGCCUUAGGGUUGCAAAACUCUUUCGCCGGAGAAGAUAAUGACGGUAUCCGGAGAAGAAGCCCCGGCUAACUUCGUGCCAGCCGCCGCCGAAAUAC
rnacentral:rRNA from 1 species